AAACCCUGACCCAUCAGCCCAAAUACUUAAUUAAAAGAAUUAAGUAUUGUCUAGUAGGUCUAGAAUUAUGAAUUAAGACCUAAGACAAUUGCAUAAACUUGUGGGUCAAUGGGUUAGAUAGAUUAGGUCCAUAAUUGGGUUAGAGCUAAGGUUAGCUUAAAGAAAUGGACUAAAUUAGAGUAAUUGGUCAAAUCUAAUCAAAAGUUGAAUUAGAUUAGGUCAAGGAUACUCUAGACUCAACUCCAAU
rnacentral:lncRNA from 1 species